UACGAGGGGGGCAAGCGUUGUUCGGAAUUAUUGGGCGUAAAGCGCUUGUAGGCGGCACGUCAAGUCGCGUGUGAAAUCCCCAGGCUUAACCUGGGAAGUGCGCGCGAAACUGACGAGCUUGAGUGCCGGAGAGGGUCGCGGAAUUCCCGGUGUAGAGGUGAAAUUCGUAGAUAUCGGGAGGAACACCAGUGGCGAAGGCGGCGACCUGGACGGACACUGACGCUGAGACGCGAAAGCGUGGGGAGCAAACAGG
rnacentral:rRNA from 1 species